UCUUUAAAUUUCAUCCAUUUUUACUGUUAAAAAUUGGUCUAGCUGACAGAAUAACCAAACAGUUACCAUGGUGGGUACCUCAUUCUAACAUACAUGAACAAGAUUUUAACAAUAUAAUUGAAUGAAUUUUUAACA
rnacentral:pre_miRNA from 1 species